rnacentral:pre_miRNA from 1 species
UUCCUACUCCCUCCGUCCGGAAAUACUUGUCAUCAAAAUGGAUAAAAGGGGAUGUAUCUAGAUGUAUUUUAGUUCUAGAUACAUCUCUUUUUAUUCAUUUUGAUGACAAGUAUUCUCGGACGGAGGGAGUAUAUA